ACCAGUAACGUAGGUAUGUACGGCAAAACAUUAGACGCACCAACCGCCAACCAGACUACCUUGCUACUUACGAUAGGCCUUGUCGAGCGGAAAGCUCCACAAGCGCCUACAAACUAAAUGAUGGUAGUCGUUGCUGGUAUACAAACCUACCCUGCCGCUUAGUUAUGAUACCUGUGUGCAGUAGUCUCUCUUCUGCAUUACAGAAGUGCGGCUUCCAGUUCCUUUGUAGCGAAUCUGUAUCGUCAAACCCUUUUAUGGCAUUCCGCAGUUCGAAUGUCCUAUUUCAGCACGUCACAACAAAGUGCCAAAGUGGCCAAACCCAACCGCUUCACCCUUCCCGGCAACUUUUGCUAUAUUCACGUUUGCAAGAUUGUGCCCUAAACAACGAUGCCAUAAGCAUGGAAAGAGGCAUUAAGAGGACGUGGGUAAGGCAACCCCCGGCAGACCAGUUCCAUGCACUUAAGGGCUUGACCAAAAUUUUCAACUAUCAUCCCCCUUCUGUUUUUGCACUUUCAGCUACGCAAAUUGGACAUGCCAACCGCAAACCGCCGUAAGUCGAUGUUAUCCAGGCGCAGUUCACCAGUUUUCAGUGCUG
rnacentral:lncRNA from 1 species